rnacentral:rRNA from 1 species
UACAUAGACCUCGAGCGUUAUCCGGAUUUACUGGGCGUAAAGCGUGCGUAGGCGUCCCGACAAGUUUCUGGUGAAAUCCCUCGGCCCAACUGAGGAACUGUCAGAAAAACUGUCGGGAUUGAGUAUGGUAGAGGCAGACGGAAUUCCCGGUGGAGCGGUAAAAUGCGUAGAUAUCGGGAAGAACACCGAUGGCGAAGGCAGUCUGCUGGAUCAUUACUGACGCUGAGGCACGAAAGCGUGGGGAGCGAACGGG